rnacentral:tRNA from 1 species
GCCGCUGUAGUAUAUUGGUUAGUACGCGACCCUGUCACGGUCGAGGGCCGGGUCCGAUUCCCGGCAGCGGCG